AACGAACGCUGGCGGCAGGCCUAACACGUGCAAGUCGAGCGAGGACUUCGGUUCUAGCGGCGGACGGGUGAGUAACGCGUGGGAAUGUGCCCUUCUCUACGGAAUAGCCCUGGGAAACUGGGAGUAAUACCGUAUACGCCCUAUUGGGGAAAGAUUUAUCGGAGAAGGAUCAGCCCGCGUUGGAUUAGGUAGUUGGUGGGGUAAUGGCCUACCAAGCCGACGAUCCAUAGCUGGUUUGAGAGGAUGAUCAGCCACACUGGGACUGAGACACGGCCCAGACUCCUACGGGAGGCAGCAGUGGGGAAUCUUAGACAAUGGGGGCAACCCUGAUCUAGCCAUGCCGCGUGAGUGAUGAAGGCCUUAGGGUUGUAAAGCUCUUUCAGCUGGGAAGAUAAUGACGGUACCAGCAGAAGAAGCCCCGGCUAACUCCGUG
rnacentral:rRNA from 1 species